rnacentral:rRNA from 1 species
AGAGUUUGAUCCUGGCUCAGAUUGAACGCUGGCGGCAGGCCUAACACAUGCAAGUCGAGCGGAUGAGGGGAGCUUGCUCCCUGAUUCAGCGGCGGACGGGUGAGUAAUGCCUAGGAAUCUGCCUGGUAGUGGGGGACAACGUUUCGAAAGGAACGCUAAUACCGCAUACGUCCUACGGGAGAAAGCAGGGGACCUUCGGGCCUUGCGCUAUCAGAUGAGCCUAGGUCGGAUUAGCUAGUUGGUGGGGUAAAGGCUCACCAAGGCGACGAUCCGUAACUGGUCUGAUAUGAUGAUCAGUCACACUGGAACUGAGACACGGUCCAGACUCCUACGGGAGGCAGCAGUGGGGAAUAUUGGACAAUGGGCGAAAGCCUGAUCCAGCCAUGCCGCGUGUGUGAAG